rnacentral:rRNA from 1 species
AUUGAACGCUGGCGGCAUGCCUUACACAUGCAAGUCGAACGGCAGCACGGGAGCAAUCCUGGUGGCGAGUGGCGAACGGGUGAGUAAUGUAUCGGAACGUACCUUUCAGUGGGGGAUAACGUAGCGAAAGUUACGCUAAUACCGCAUAUUCUGUGAGCAGGAAAGCAGGGGAUCGCAAGACCUUGCGCUGAUUGAGCGGCCGAUGGCAGAUUAGGUAGUUGGUGGGGUAAAGGCUCACCAAGCCUGCGAUCUGUAGCUGGUCUGAGAGGACGACCAGCCACACUGGAACUGAGACACGGUCCAGACUCCUACGGGAGGCAGCAGUGGGGAAUUUUGGACAAUGGGCGCAAGCCUGAUCCAGCCAUUCCGCGUGCAGGAUGAAGGCC